rnacentral:rRNA from 1 species
AGAGUUUGAUCAUGGCUCAGAUUGAACGCUGGCGGCAGGCCUAACACAUGCAAGUCGAACGGUAACAGGAAGCAGCUUGCUGCUUCGCUGACGAGUGGCGGACGGGUGAGUAAUGUCUGGGAAGCUGCCUGAUGGAGGGGGAUAACUACUGGAAACGGUAGCUAAUACCGCAUAAUGUCGCAAGACCAAAGAGGGGGACCUUCGGGCCUCUUGCCAUCGGAUGUGCCCAGAUGGGAUUAGCUUGUUGGUGGGGUAACGGCUCACCAAGGCGACGAUCCCUAGCUGGUCUGAGAGGAUGACCAGCCACACUGGAACUGAGACACGGUCCAGACUCCUACGGGAGGCAGCAGUGGGGAAUAUUGCACAAUGGGCGCAAGCCUGAUGCAGCCAUGCCGCGUGUAUGAAGAAGGCCUUCGGGUUGUAAAGUACUUUCAGCGGGGAGGAAGGGAGUAAAGUUAAUACCUUUGCUCAUUGACGUUACCCGCAGAAGAAGCACCGGCUAACUCCGUGCCAGCAGCCGCGGUAAUACGGAGGGUGCAAGCGUUAAUCGGAAUUACUGGGCGUAAAGCGCACGCAGGCGGUUUGUUAAGUCAGAUGUGAAAUCCCCGGGCUCAACCUGGGAACUGCAUCUGAUACUGGCAAGCUUGAGUCUCGUAGAGGGGGGUAGAAUUCCAGGUGUAGCGGUGAAAUGCGUAGAGAUCUGGAGGAAUACCGGUGGCGAAGGCGGCCCCCUGGACGAAGACUGACGCUCAGGUGCGAAAGCGUGGGGAGCAAACAGGAUUAGAUACCCUGGUAGUCCACGCCGUAAACGAUGUCGACUUGGAGGUUGUGCCCUUGAGGCGUGGCUUCCGGAGCUAACGCGUUAAGUCGACCGCCUGGGGAGUACGGCCGCAAGGUUAAAACUCAAAUGAAUUGACGGGGGCCCGCACAAGCGGUGGAGCAUGUGGUUUAAUUCGAUGCAACGCGAAGAACCUUACCUGGUCUUGACAUCCACGGAAGUUUUCAGAGAUGAGAAUGUGCCUUCGGGAACCGUGAGACAGGUGCUGCAUGGCUGUCGUCAGCUCGUGUUGUGAGAUGUUGGGUUAAGUCCCGCAACGAGCGCAACCCUUAUCCUUUGUUGCCAGCGGUCCGGCCGGGAACUCAAAGGAGACUGCCAGUGAUAAACUGGAGGAAGGUGGGGAUGACGUCAAGUCAUCAUGGCCCUUACGACCAGGGCUACACACGUGCUACAAUGGCGCAUACAAAGAGAAGCGACCUCGCGAGAGCAAGCGGACCUCAUAAAGUGCGUCGUAGUCCGGAUUGGAGUCUGCAACUCGACUCCAUGAAGUCGGAAUCGCUAGUAAUCGUGGAUCAGAAUGCCACGGUGAAUACGUUCCCGGGCCUUGUACACACCGCCCGUCACACCAUGGGAGUGGGUUGCAAAAGAAGUAGGUAGCUUAACCUUCGGGAGGGCGCUUACCACUUUGUGAUUCAUGACUGGGGUGAAGUCGUAACAAGGUAACCGUAGGGGAACCUGCGGUUG